CAAUAGCGUAUAUUAAAGUUGUUGCGGUAAAAAAGCUCGUAGUUGGAUUUCUACCGAAGAUAGCCGGUCGGGUCUUCGACCUUGUAUCUGGUUUUGUCUUUGGUAUCCUCAUAGGGAGCGUUUCUGCGCUUUAUUGCGUGGUGCGGUAUCUAUGACUUUUACUUUGAGGAAAUUAGAGUGCUCACGGCAGGCAAACGCCUUGAAUAUAUUAGCAUGGAAUAAUAACAUAGGAUCUUCGUCCUAUUUUGUUGGUUUCUAGGGCUAAGAUAAUGAUUAAUAGGGAUAAUUGGGGGCAUCUGUAUCAACGCGUCAGAGGUGGAAUUCUUGGAUUGCGUUGCGACAAACUACUGCGAAAGCAUUUGCCAAGGAUGUUUUCAUUGA
rnacentral:rRNA from 1 species